AAAAUUGAAGAUGAUGAGAUGAUUAUAAAUAUCAUGAAUGGCCUUGAUUUUGAGUACAAUCCUCUUGAAUCGUCAAUUCUUGGGCGUGCUGAUUGUGUUCGCUGAGCGAUCUGUACUCUCAACUAGUUGCCUAUG
rnacentral:snoRNA from 1 species